UGGGGAAUAUUGCACAAUGGGCGCAAGCCUGAUGCAGCGACUCUGCGUGAAGGAUGAAGCCCCGUGGGGUGUAAACUUCUUUUCUGGGGGAAGACGAUUGACGGUACCUCAGGAAUAAGAGACGGCUAACUUCGUGCCAGCAGCCGCGGUAAUACGAAGGUCUCGAGCGUUAUCCGGAUUUAUUGGGCGUAAAGCGUCUGUAGCCUGAUUUGUAAGUCUAUUUUCAAAUAUCUCAACUCAAUUGAGAAAAGGGAAUAGAUACUGCAUGUCUAGAGUGUUUUAGGGGUUAGCAGAAUUUCCUGUGGAGCGGUGAAAUGCGUUGAUAUAGGAAGGAAUGCCAAAAGCGAAAGCAGCUAACCAUAAAACCACUGACGGUGAGAGACGACAGCGUGGGGAGCAAACGGG
rnacentral:rRNA from 1 species